AUUGAACGCUGGCGGCGGGCCUAACACAUGCAAGUCGAACGAGUGGCGGACGGGUGAGUAAUGUCUGUGAAACUGCCUGAUGGAGGGGGAUCACUACUGGAAACGGUAGCUAAUAACGCAUACCAUCAGAUGUGCCCAGAUGGGAUUAGCUUGUUGGUGGGGGAACGGCUCACCAAGGCGACGAUCCCUAGCUGGUGUGAGAGGAUGACCAGCCACACUGGAACUGAGACACGGCCCAGACCACUACGGGAGGCAGCAGUGGGGAAUAUUGUACAAGGGGCGCAAGCCUGAUGAAGACAUGCCGCGUGUAUGAAGAAGGCCUUCGGGUUGGAAAGUACUUUCAGCGGGGAGGCGGUACCCGCAGAAUAAGCACCGGCUAACUCCGUGCCAGCAGCCGCGGUAAUAC
rnacentral:rRNA from 1 species